GACGUAGGGCGCAAGCGUUGUCCGGAAUUAUUGGGCGUAAAGAGCUCGUAGGCGGCUUGUUGCGUCGACUGUGAAAACCCGUGGCUCAACCAUGUGGUCUGCAGUCGAUACGGGCAGGCUAGAAUUCGGUAGGGGAGACUGGAAUUCCUGGUGUAGCGGUGAAAUGCGCAGAUAUCGGGAGGAACACCAAUGGCGAAGGCAGCUCGCUGGGACGUUACUGACGCUGAGACGCGAAAGCGUGGGGAGCGAACAGG
rnacentral:rRNA from 1 species